CAGUCGAACGAAGCAUUUAAGACAGAUUACUUCGGUUUGAAGUCUUUUAUGACUGAGUGGCGGACGGGUGAGUAACGCGUGGGUAACCUGCCUCAUACAGGGGGAUAGCAGCUGGAAACGGCUGGUAAUACCGCAUAAGCGCACGGUAUCGCAUGAUACAGUGUGAAAAACUCCGGUGGUAUGAGAUGGACCCGCGUCUGAUUAGCUAGUUGGUGAGGUAACGGCCCACCAAGGCGACGAUCAGUAGCCGACCUGAGAGGGUGACCGGCCACAUUGGGACUGAGACACGGCCCAGACUCCUACGGGAGGCAGCAGUGGGGAAUAUUGCACAAUGGAGGAAACUCUGAUGCAGCGACGCCGCGUGAGUGAAGAAGUAGUUCGCUAUGUAAAGCUCUAUCAGCAGGGAAGAUAGUGACGGUACCUGACUAAGAAGCUCCGGCUAAAUACGUGCCAGCAGCCGCGGUAAUACGUAUGGAGCAAGCGUUAUCCGGAUUUACUGGGUGUAAAGGGAGUGUAGGUGGCCAGGCAAGUCAGAAGUGAAAGCCCGGGGCUCAACCCCGGGACUGCUUUUGAAACUGCAGGGCUAGAGUGCAGGAGGGGCAAGUGGAAUUCCUAGUGUAGCGGUGAAAUGCGUAGAUAUUGGGAGGAACACCAGUGGCGAAGGCGGCCUACUGGGCACCAACUGACGCUGAGGCUCGAAAGUGUGGGUAGCAAACAGGAUUAGAUACCCUGGUAGUCCACACCGUANACGAUGAUUACUAGGUGUUGGAGGNUUGACCCCUUCA
rnacentral:rRNA from 1 species